rnacentral:rRNA from 1 species
AGUGAACGCUGGCGGUAGGCCUAACACAUGCAAGUCGAACGGCAGCACAGUAAGAGCUUGCUCGUACGGGUGGCGAGUGGCGGACGGGUGAGGAAUACAUCGGAAUCUACUUUUUCGUGGGGGAUAACGUAGGGAAACUUACGCUAAUACCGCAUACGACCUACGGGUGAAAGCAGGGGAUCUUCGGACCUUGCGCGAUUGAAUGAGCCGAUGUCGGAUUAGCUAGUUGGCGGGGUAAAGGCCCACCAAGGCGACGAUCCGUAGCUGGUCUGAGAGGAUGAUCAGCCACACUGGAACUGAGACACGGUCCAGACUCCUACGGGAGGCAGCAGUGGGGAAUAUUGGACAAUGGGCGAAAGCCUGAUCCAGCCAUACCGCGUGGGUGAAGAAGGCCUUCGGGUUGUAAAGCCCUUUUGUUGGGAAAGAAAAGCAGCAGGUUAAUACCCCGCUGUUCUGACGGUACCCAAAGAAUAAGCACCGGCUAACUUCGUG